CGAGCCUUGUGGAUAAGGGAGAACUGUGGAUGUGAUACCUGGACUUUAUAAGCAUAUUGCAUCGUCUCACAUGAUGAUUCUUAUCGAUAAACAAGGCAAAUACCAUUAGAUGGGACUACUAUAAGGUGGGGGUGUAUCUGGCUGG